rnacentral:lncRNA from 1 species
UUUCUUUUAGAGGAUUGCAAUUCAAAAACAUUAAGGUUGGUUCUAGGAUCAUUAAUUGUUUUUAAUGCUUUCAAUGUGCAGGUCAAUUCAAAAUCUGCAGAAAAGGCCGAAUAGAACUUCAGCAACAAUAGACACUAGAUUUCAGGUCAAUCACAUUCAAUUCAAACAAGCAGAAACAAACAAGGAUAAGUUCAUCAACUCAAGCAAG